UUUUGCAGAUUAAUUAGAGAUAAGCAUCUCAUGGACUUUUCUACCCAGGCUUGCUUUGAACUAUGAUUGUCA